rnacentral:rRNA from 1 species
AUUGAACGCUGGCGGCAUGCUUUACACAUGCAAGUCGAACGGCAGCACGGACUUCGGUCUGGUGGCGAGUGGCGAACGGGUGAGUAAUACAUCGGAACGUACCCAGUAAUGGGGGAUAACUAUCCGAAAGGAUAGCUAAUACCGCAUACGCCCUACGGGGGAAAGAGGGGGAUCGCAAGACCUCUUGUUAUUGGAGCGGCCGAUGGCUGAUUAGCUAGUUGGUGAGGUAAAGGCUCACCAAGGCGACGAUCAGUAGCGGGUCUUAAGGGACGCUCCUCCACACUGGAGCUGAGACACGGUCCAGACUCCUACGGGAGGCAGCAGUGGGGAAUCUUGGACCAUGGGCGCAAGCCUGCUUCAGCAAUGCCGCGUGCGUGAAGAAGGCCUUCGGGUUGUAAAGCGCUUUUGUCAGGGAGCAAAUCCUUGUGGCUAAUACCCACCGGGGAUGAGAGUACCUGAAGAAUAAGGACCGGCUAACUACGUGCCAGCCGCCGCUGUAAGAC